rnacentral:snRNA from 1 species
GUGGCGGCCUAAGCCCGGG